rnacentral:misc_RNA from 1 species
AUUUGUAAUUUUAUUUUAAAUUAAACUUGUAAAAUUUAUCAGUGAUUGUUUUUGUGAACGCGUAGGUACGUAAGUUACUUGUUCUGUGAAGUGAACGGCAGUUUUUAAACAUAUGAUAAUUAAAGUAAGGUGAAUGAGAAAGUUGGACAUCGAAUCUAACCCCCCCCCCCGCCGGUUUUUACCUCGAGGAUAAUAAUGAGAUGAUUCGGAAGUUUGCUUCGUAGACGCCUGCACGGUUCCGUAUCGAUCCAGCCUUCCACAGAUGCUGCAAUCACGUUUCAGAUCCUGCUGGUCUUGGAUGGCUCCAGUAAUUCAAUCAGUUCAUCACAGAUGCCCACCCUCAUCUUCGUCUAAUGGCCCGUCAAACUCACCAACACCACGGCGGUGCCUUGGCAAAACGACAUUCUAGAACCCGGUCGAAGAGAUAGAAGGCUCAGUCAGCGAAGGGUCGUGGCGACCCGGGAAUACCGACUGCCAAAACCUUGGUGCCUGCAGACGUCUGUCCGGACAACGAUCGAUGAUAAAAGAUGCUCGAUUCGACGAGAGGAUCGCACAGGGUCCGGUGGUGGUGGCGAGGAGUACUUCUGGGCUCGGUACUCUGGCUGACGACGUUCGCCGAAGGCUGCCCAUCGAUGUGUGUAUGCAAGUGGAAGGGUGGCAAGGAGUGGGUCGAGUGCGCGAAGCGUGGUCUGAUCGGUCUGCCGCAGGGUGCCGGAGAGGGAACGCAGGUACUGGACCUGGCGGAUAACCACCUGGUGAGCCUGCCACCGCAGUGCUUCCAGGCGCUGGGUUUGACCAACCUGCAGAGGCUCUACCUGUCCAGGUCAAAGAUCAGCCACCUGGCCGAGACGGCGUUUAUGGGACUGACGGGACUGGUGGAGCUAGACCUCUCUGGGAACCAGAUCGGUCAGGUACCCUCGGAGACCUUUCCAUCGUACGCGGGCCUCAUGAGGCUUAUCCUGAACGGAAACCCCAUCAGGGAGGUGCGCCGUAAGGCCUUUCACCCCUUGGUCCACCUUACGGUACUAGAGAUGAGCGAAUGCCGGCUCGAGGCCGUCGAGCAAAACGCCUUCUUUGGACUCGGUGCCCUCGAAUGGCUCAGGCUCGACGGAAACCGGCUAACCCACGUCCCAGAGAUGACGCUUCCACUCGGUGGCAGCCUCCGCGGACUCACCCUGCACAACAACCCCUGGAUGUGCGACUGCAAGCUCAGACCCAUGCAAGCCUGGCUGCAGCAGUCAGCGCCAGCCGCACCACAGGAGGCUGAACCCACUUGCGAGGCCCCAACUAGGUUACACGGGAAGCAGAUCAAGACCGUCAAGGUCAACGACCUAGCAUGCCUGCCGAAAGUCAAUGUCAAGGAACAGGUCGAGGUGUACGAGGGUGCUAAUCUCACCUUGCGCUGCGAUGUUCACGCUGUUCCAUCCGCCAAGGUGACGUGGUGGUUCAACGGCGUGCCUUACGAACCUCAGAAUGAGAACGACACCUACGCCGCUUCCGCUCCAGCGCUUACCAGGUACUACUACAGGGAGCGCGGUCACACGAACAAAAGCAACACCCUGCACCUCCAGGGAGUAGAACAAUCGGACGAAGGAACGUUCACCUGCGUCGCGGAGAACAGCGCUGGCUCAGCGGAGGCCAACCUCUCGCUUCGGGUGCUGAUGCGCGAGCGAGGAACAAUCGAGCCACCGUUCGACCAGCCAAGCACAGGCUACGUGGCUGCGGUGGCGGCUGGAGCGCUGAUCGGUACGCUGUUCGCGCUUGGCUGCGUGAUCGGCAGCGUGCUAUUCUGCACGAAGCGUCGGCAGGACCGCAAACGGAGCGCGAAGUCGCUGGUGACGCAGGGCGGCAAGGGCAUAACGCCGGUGGUAAAGGAGAGCGCUACCUUACCGCGCAAGGAGCUGAGUUUCGAGCGGCAACAGCAGGUGCUGUACGGCGAGCGGGAGCUGAGUGGCAGGAGCGGAACGCUGGAACGGCGCGAGCCAGUGGAGGGGGCAUACCGAAGCCCUGCGGCAAAGUACCUCACGGAGCCUGACCUGAUAAACGAAGUGCCGGAGGCUACGGAGGGCUACGGCAUCUACCAGCAGCAACGGAGCGAGCGCCAAAUGCUCGAGUACGACCCUCGGUACUGCCUGCAACCCGAGCUGCCGCAGAUCGGGUACCUCGGCACCGACGGAUACCCCGUCGACUUUGGCCUGCCGAAGAUAUCCUUCGCCAGCACACUCCCUCGACGCCUCCAUCCCCCCCAGGGAACCGCCGCCGCUCCCCAAGCGCGCUACUCGAGGGAAGCCGAGUUCCUCGCCAGGUCGACGCCCUACGACGCCGUCAUCCCGAGGAGCGACGCACGCUACACCGCCGAGGGCUAUCCCUACCCACCUCACCCGCCACUCAAGCAGCUGCAGAUCCCUGCCUCACCGACCACGCCAGCUGUCCUCCCGGAUGUUCCGUUCAUACCCUCGCCACCGGCCGCGUAUCGCGGAGAACCUACGCCUAUGUCGCCGCGGUCGCUUCUGGGCAAGACCGCCAGGGAAGCCGCUGCAGCUGUUGCCGCCAGGGCAGAGGGCGCUCAUCGCGCACCUGAACACUCGGAAAGCCCCGACGAGGGAUACGUCGGGGAAACUGUGGACGUCUGAAACGACGAGGGAACGACGGAACGGAAAGGAAACGAAACGGAGCUGAUUGCGAAGCGUUGAGCGGAUCGCGACACUCUGCAAUAAAUGAUAAUCGUUCGUGUAGACGUGUCAUGUUCGACGAGUACGAUGUGAAUAAUAUCAUCGAUAAUCAACUUUAUAUAUAUAUAUAUAUAUAUAUAAUAUAAUUGAAUUUGAAGAAAUAAAUGAAAAAGGGGAUCUCUCUAGUGUAUUUUGCAGAAAAACCCCGUGUUAACAAAAACGCGCACCCAUGAAUAGUGUAUAUUGCAAUGAAAACGUAAUUUAUAAACUGUCUAGGUAUAAAUACAUGUAAACAUAUGAGACAAAAGAUCUGGAUUUAUGGAAUUGGACGUUCAGUGCUCAAUAUAUUGUAUAAUAAUUAUCAUUUAAAACAUCAGUGCAUUUUGAGGGAUGAACAAUUAUCAGUCGUCCGUGUAAGGGAUCGGAAG